rnacentral:rRNA from 1 species
AGAGCGAACGCUGGCGGCAGGCCUAACACAUGCAAGUCGAGCGCCGUAGCAAUACGGAGCGGCAGACGGGAGAGUAACACGUGGGAACGUACCCUUUGGUUCGGAACAACCCAGGGAAACUUGGGCUAAUACCGAAUAAGCCCUUACGGGGAAAGAUUUAUCGCCGAAGGAUCGGCCCGCGUCUGAUUAGCUAGUUGGUGGGGUAACGGCCCACCAAGGCGACGAUCAGUAGCUGGUCUGAGAGGAUGAUCAGCCUCAUUGGGACUGAGACACGGCCCAAACUCCUACGGGAGGCAGCAGUGGGGAAUAUUGGACAAUGGGCGCAAGCCUGAUCCAGCCAUGCCGCGUGGGUGAUGAAGGCCCUAGGGUUGUAAAGCCCGUUUCGGCGGGGAAGAUAAUGACGGUACCCGCAGAAGAACGCCCCGGCUAACUUCGUGCCAGCAGCCGC